AAUGAUACUUUAAUUGACCAAACACAGGGAAAUAAAUAUGGAAUCACUCAAUUCUGAGGAAAAAAGUAUGGAAUAGGCGCCUGCCGCCUGCAAGCACCCAGCUAAACAUAGCUGUUCACAACGUGUAGGUUGUUUCAGAAAGACAGAAGACUUGAUGGUGUGGAGCACCUGCAGUUUCACUGGCCUUGUCUGAUCACACAAGAGUGUAUGAUCACAGAAUGGAUGACCUGAGUGAUUUCCUGAGGCAAAGGAAUAUUCCAGGGGAAACUAUCGAGACCAUGCUGAGAGAGAAGAUACAUACCUUACAUAUGUAACCCUUACAUACCAACGUCAUCCAGCUCAUGACAGAUGAAGACCUAAAGAAUUAUUUGCCAUCAUAUGGAGACCGCAUAGCCCUAUCAGGAUACUGUAAAAGGAAGGAAAAUGGCCCCCCAAGCAGUCGCAAAUCAAAACUGUUUGAGCGCCUGAAAUCAAAGCUGGGUAAAAGAAAAACUGCUCAUGAAGAUGGCUGUGGUAUGGAAAAAGAAGAGCAAUCUGAAACAACUGUAAAGAAGAAUGCUCUGAAAUCAAAGAGAAAAAUAGAAAUAGGCUGGCUGCUUUAUGAUGAUGAACAACAGGCUUUUAAACAAGUAAGAGCAAGAAGAGGUGGUGGAACAAGGAAGGUCGAUGUAUCAAAGGAUGCUAAAAAGAGCAGUUAAAAUUCUAUCUCUGGAAAGCCAUGAUGCCAGACAACAAAACGUAAUUGACUUUUGUUAUGCCAUAAUUAACAUGUUAAUUGUUAGCUGACAUAAUAAAUCAUAAGAGGUAAAGUGAAAAUUACGUACUGUAGGAAGUAUUUCGAAGUUCACAGCCAAAAUAAACAGAAAUAGGAACUGUUUAUUGUUAUUGUAUCUUUUUAUGAGACACAACUAUGUUGACAGUUCCACUUGUUACAUUGCAUUCAUAUUCAUAAUAAAAUCGUUUUCUAAUUUCUUUUUCUUUUUUGCACAUUGGAUUUCCUUUGUGGAAGGUUAUAAAAAGAGUCUUUUUUGUUUUACUGGACACAACUUGGUAAAUUCCUUUAUCUUAAACUUAUUAAAUGCACUAUACACCAAGGCAAGUUUUUUUUAAGCACUUGUGAUUUAUUUUUGGGGAUGUCAAAGUAAUGGAUUGUUCUUUGUUGACAGAAUACAAAAUAAAUACAUUUUGAAUAAAGUUUAGAGCCUGUUUAUGAUUUGCUGUUGCACUGUAAAUAAAUUGAUUGGCCAUAAUACUGAAAAACAUGUAUAUGUCAAGAGUAAGGACAACAUUUGUACUCUUAUCAAAUUAAUACCAACUGCA